rnacentral:other from 1 species
AGAAAUCUGAGGUGUGCGCGGUAUUCGAUAUGUGUUGACCGAACAAAUAAUUACUUUUAACGGGAUCCACAUUGAUGCUGCAGAUAACAAGCCAUUUCACAUGGAAGUUAGCAAGCAACUCAUAGGAGCCCACCUGCUUUUGAUGCGGGUUCAAAACUUAGGAAUACAAAAACGGCACCAUCGGAGAUCUA